ensembl:lncRNA
AUACAGUGCCUGUUUGCUACACUUGUUCCCAGGACAUCUUUGAACCAGAGGGCUGUUGCUGGACAUGGUGUUUCAGAUGAGAUCUCACCAACUUCAUUUGCUGAUCAUUUUAUCAUGUGAAUUAUGGCAGAAGAUGACAUGCUGAAAGGAUAUACAUCAACAAAUGUAUUCAGUAUGUUGAGAAAAAUCCAAUUAUAAACCUCCUUCCCUACCUUAAUGUAAUGUUUCUACAUGUGAGCUGCCUGUAGACGGUGGAGUUCUGAGGAUGGAUCCUGAAGCACACAUUAGAGCAUAGAAAAGAAAGCUGAGGCUUGAAAACAGCCAUAGGACUGCAGCAACCAGAAUGAAGUCCAGGGAAGAGGUGACGUGGGAUUUAUAACUGUACUGCAGGACACAGAUGUCUUGGCACAGGGAUUCUCACUGAAGAAUCCCAGUUCAGAAUUGCUGUCUUUUCCUUCCUCUCAUUGCUACAUUACUCAUGGUCAAGACCUGG